CCAGACUCCUACGGGAGGCAGCAGUGAGGAAUAUUGGUCAAUGGCCGAGAGGCUGAACCAGCCAAGUCGCGUGAGGGAAGACGGCCCUACGGGUUGUAAACCUCUUUUGUCGGGGAGCAAAGCGAACCACGUGUGGUUCAUUGAGAGUACCCGAAGAAAAAGCAUCGGCUAACUCCGUGCCAGCAGCCGCGGUAAUACGGAGGAUCCGAGCGUUAUCCGGAUUUAUUGGGUUUAAGGGGAGCGUAGGCGGGUUGUUAAGUCAGUUGUGAAAGUUUGCGGCUCAACCGUAAAAUUGCAGUUGAUACUGGCAUCCUUGAGUACAGUAGAGGUAGGCGGAAUUCGUGGUGUAGCGGUGAAAUGCUUAGAUAUCACGAAGAACUCCGAUUGCGAAGGCAGCCUGCUGGACUGUAACUGACGCUGAUGCUCGAAAGUGUGGGUAUCGAACAGGAUUAGAUACCCCAGUAC
rnacentral:rRNA from 1 species